GGUGGUAUGGCUCAAAUGGUAGAGCAUCUGCCUGGCAAGCACAAGGCCCUGAGUUCAAUCCCCAAUACCACAA
rnacentral:tRNA from 1 species